rnacentral:rRNA from 1 species
AACGAACGCUGGCGGCAGGCUUAACACAUGCAAGUCGAGCGCCCCGCAAGGGGAGCGGCAGACGGGUGAGUAACGCGUGGGAACGUACCCUUUGCUACGGAAUAGCUCCGGGAAACUGGAAUUAAUACCGUAUGUGCCCUACGGGGGAAAGAUUGAUCGGCAAAGGAUCGGCCCGCGUUGGAUUAGCUAGUUGGUGGGGUAAUGGCCUACCAAGGCGACGAUCCAUAGCUGGUCUGAGAGGAUGAUCAGCCACAUUGGGACGGAGACCCGGCCCAAACACCGAGGGGAGGCAGCAGUGGGAGAUAUUGGGCAAUGGCCGCAAGCCGGAGCCAGCCAUGAGGUGUGAGUGAUGAAGGCCUUAGGGUUGUAAAGCUCUCUCAGCGGAGAAGAUAAUGACGGUAUCCGGAGAAGAAGCCCCGGCUAACUUCGUGCCAGCCGCCGCCGUAAUAC